rnacentral:rRNA from 1 species
AGGACGAACGCUGGCGGCGUGGAUAAGACAUGCAAGUCGAACGAGACUUUUCGUUGUAGCAAUACGAUGGAAAGUUUAGUGGCGAACGGGUGCUUAACACGUGGGCAACCUGCCGAGAAGUGGGGGAUAGCUCGCCGAAAGGCGAAUUAAUACCGCAUGUGAUUAGAGAGGACAUCCUUUCGAAAUUAAAGUCGGGGCAACCUGACGCUUUUUGUGGGGCCCGCGGCCUAUCAGCUAGUUGGUGAGGUAACGGCUCACCAAGGCUUUGACGGGUAGC